AGUGGGAUAGCUGGGUCAAAUGGUGGUUCCAUUCACAGUUUUCUGAGGAAUCUUCAUACUGCUUUCCAUAGUGGUUGCACCAAUUUACAGUCUCAGCAGCAAU
rnacentral:pre_miRNA from 1 species